AUAUAACUCAAACGCUUCAACAAUAUUUGUCUCUGAAAACAGUCCUGAAAGUUUCUUGAAGUUAAAGUUAUUAUAUCCACAAGAUAGCUGCAUUAUUGGUAAACAUCUAGGAUCUUAGAAAGCUGUUGUUUUUUAUUUUUAAUGUUUCUAUGUAUAAGAAAUAAGAAGUUUCAUCACAACCCAUAAAGUAGUUUUUCGGAAAUUGUGAUAAGUAGUAAUUUCCAGAAUUCAACAAUCAAGUUAUUAAUUACAUACUGAGUCAAUUAAUCUACCCAGUAGAUCUAUAUAUUAAUCAGAGAGCACUUAAAUACCUUCAAUUACAUUGUAGUCGCUUGAUUCAAUUAACGGAAAUCGAAAUAUUGAAUGUCAAAGAAUAUUAACUUACUGUAUUGUCUCUUAUGAUAAAUUGGAGACUAUUUGAAAGAAAAAUAGACGAUAUCUCUCCAGUCUUUGAAAUGAAAUUCACCUCGAAAGUGGAGAUAUUUCGUAUUUAUUUCCAUUUACAAUAAUAACAGAAUUUACUUUGCACCCAACCACAGCCCUACCACCAGUGACUGGUGGGUUUUUUUAUACUCUUUGCAUUUUGGUUCUGUUAACUACUAGAAGAUCGAUAUCCAAAGGUUCUGAUUGAGACUAUGAUUCGAAAAUUGGUUUUCAUGGUUGAGUAUUGGAAUAGAUUAGAGAUAUCAAAUUGAAUUCUAUAAAAGAAACUCAGGAACCAAUUCAAGGAAAGUUGUGAGAACAGCAAAUGUUAUGCCAACGAUACUCCCCUGUACAGGAGUCAAUUCAAUCAUUGGAAUUACUACAUUUUUGAGAAUCAUAGUGAUUCUAGAUUAAUCUGUGGUUCUUCAAGGCUUGGAAUGAGCUUGUAAAAUAUAAUUAUCACACAAGAGACAAUACAACAUGAUUUUUCAUACACAACAUGAAGGAGAAAGAGAAAAUAGCUCACGCCUCACUCACUUCAUUCAGGUGCUUAGUUUUUUGCAUAAAUACAAGCGAAAUUAUAUUGCCAAGAUCAUUUCGUAGCCGGAGUUGAGAAUCCUUUUAAAUGGGGAUGAAUGGCAAUUUAGUUUUUUAUCUCUUUUCUAAUUUGAACCAUAUAGAUUAAUUUUGAGGUCUCACAGCAUUUUACAAGUCUUCUUUAGUUUUAGCAUUUUGCACUUUCUCUGAUAUCGUAUCAAUCUUAUUCCGGUCGCGUAUUAAUGGGGAGGAUAUUAUUUUAUUACUUUUCCGACAGUUGCAUAACUUGGCAAACAGAUAAUGUAUUCAAGAGUUUCAAGUCUCGUUUAAUCUGGUAAAUUUCAUAAGGACGGCAAAAAAUCGAUCGUCCAAAAAUCGAUGUGUGUAACUGGCUUAACUAUCACUGGCUUCACGAAGCUCAAGAAAAUAGUUUUCUUAUUAUAAUAUGAAAUUAUCAGAUUGUAGGUAUGGAGGUUUGAUAUUAGAAUUCCGGUACAGAAAGUUUUUCAGUAGUAGAAUCGCUUAUUUCUCAGGAAUACUUACUUCUACCAGAAUCGGUGUUUAUUAUUCGAUCAGAUCAGAGCAUGAUCACAACAAUAACAUUUCUUUCUUAAUUAUAAUUUUAUUUUGUGGCUUGAAGUUGAGUGCAAAUAGUUUUUAGUUACACCAUAUCGAGACAAAGGUGUAAGUUGGUGUACUGCACGCGCAGUAAGAAAGGGACAUUCUUGCCAAAUCUCAGAAUUCUAUCAACGCGUUUGUUUGGCCGUAAAUGCAUUACAUACAGACAGACGAAAGAAAAUCCGAGUUAUCAUAGAACUCACUGCGUUCGGCCAAUUAUCGUUAUUCAAAAAUUGCAUUCAAUCUUUAUUCUCAUUAAUUAAUUCUUCAUAUCUUGUAAAAUUCGUUCAAUAAUAAGAAAUAUUGCCAUUCAAUCUAAAUUAGUGUAUAAGCCAGCAGUGUAUUAUAUUGUAACAUAACAUAGGCCUGCAUGAAUAAAGAACUCUAAUCUAAUCUAAUCUAAUCCGUAAUCCCUACGCUGUAUGUUCUCUUUUCAACUGCAAAUGUCUUUAUUGAAUUCUUCAAUGUUGUUUUCCAUCACGAACUGCUUAUUAUUAAAUCUCUUUUUGCUUUUAGAAAAAACGACUAGCAGUCAGAUAUUUUUACAAUAAAUGAAUAAAUCACUCACUGGACAACGAGAUCUUUCGGCAGUUCCGCCAUCUUCUUGGUUGUCUUCUAUUGCUAUACUUUUUAGUACCGUACGGUAUAUUGUUUGAGUCUCUCCCCCUCCUACAAGCUCCUACUUUUGUAAUAGUAUGUAGGCCUAACUUUCACCAUUGUCCACGGCCGUGCUCUCUCUCUCGAAACUCACUCCUUCCUUGUCGAAGUAUUUUCGCGCCUUUUUGAGUUUUGUUUGCCUUUUCGCUAUAUAGUUAUUGGACUUGAUCUUCUUGUCUAAUGCAGUCGCAAGGGUUAGUUUCAGUUCAUCACGUAUUGAAUACAGAGUACAUUUCCUGUUUCCAGUGUUUUAUCCAGGCAUUUAUUUGUUUUGAAGUCACGUGAUCUUCUAUCAUCAAUGAGACGUAUGUCGCGUCAUGCGCCGAUAAAGCUUCGGAAGGGCGCACAAUCACAAGUAUCAUGGGGAAGCUGGUGACCCUUCCUUACCAUCCAAAGCAAGGACGACCAUAAGAGAGAGAAAAACCUUUCAAGGACCUUCUGAUAACUGAAGUUAUGAUUGAAGCUGCUACAAACCGGUGCUGGCCGAAGGCAGAAUUGAAGCAGGUCUAGUUGAAAGCGGCUUCGUGGCUUGCACAAGCCCAAUCCAAGUUGGACAAAAUGAAUCAGCCAUCAACACCAGCUACAAUAACAAUAAUCGACACCGAUUGUGAAGAUGAACCUCUCGAAUAGAUAAUAAUAUAAUAGUAGUGACAGAAAAGAUCAUAAAACGUGUCUACAUGUUCAAUUUACUGAUAUCAUAAACAAUAAAUUAGUUAUUGAUUAUAAUUACGGUUUUUAAUUGAAUAAUCAAUCCCUGAAAC